GGGGGUGUACUGGUUUCGACGGGGAUCGUCGGGUGUAUGGUAAGCGAGCCGCGGACCCUGAACCGCGCAACAACGGGGAAAUAAAUUAACUGACAACAAUCAGCAAUUCGCUUUCGCGGCCUAACGCCGCGUCGUCGGCCUCAAGCGCUCACGGCUUGAGAUAUCCGGCGUCAUUGAUGUGAGGAACAGGUUCGUCAAAGCUUUGAGGCGACACCGGUAAAAUGAAGCUACCAACCCAGGCAGCCUGCCUCCCGGCGGCCCGGCAAGGGAAAUUAAAAUGAGAGGCUCCGCUCGGAGAAAACCAUAUGCUUGAAUCUUCGGACAGGGGUUCGAUUCCCCUCACCUCCACCA
rnacentral:tmRNA from 1 species